GACAGAGGGUGCAAACGUUGUUCGGAAUUACUGGGCGUAAAGGGCUCGUAGGCGGCCAACUAAGUCAUACGUGAAAUCCCCCGGCUUAACCGGGGAACUGCGUCUGAUACUGGAUGGCUUGAGUUCGGGAGAGGGAUGCGGAAUUCCAGGUGUAGCGGUGAAAUGCGUAGAUAUCUGGAGGAACACCGGUGGCGAAGGCGGCAUCCUGGACCGAUACUGACGCUGAGGAGCGAAAGCCAGGGGAGCAAACGGG
rnacentral:rRNA from 1 species